GAAGGGGGCAAGCGUUGUUCGGAAUUACUGGGCGUAAAGGGUGUGUAGGCGGAUUCGUAAGAUAGUGGUGAAAUACCUGAGCUCAACUUAGGAAUUGCCAUUAUAACUAUAGAUCUGGAGUGACAGAGAGGAUAUUGGAAUACCCAGUGUAGAGGUGAAAUUCGUAGAUAUUGGGUAGAACACCAGUGGCGAAGGCGAGUAUCUGGCUGUCAACUGACGCUGAGGCACGAAAGCAUGGGGAUCAAACAGGAUUAGAUACCCUGGUAGUCCAUGCUGUAAACGAUGAAUGCUAGUUGUCGGCAAAAGCCGGUGACGCAGUUAACGCGAUAAGCAUUCCGCCUGGGGAGU
rnacentral:rRNA from 1 species